CCUACGGGUGGCAGCAGUGGGGAAUAUUGCGCAAUGGGCGAAAGCCUGACGCAGCGACGCCGCGUGAGGGAUGAAGGUCUUCGGAUCGUAAACCUCUGUCAGCAGGGAAGAACGGUCACUGUGCUAAUCAGCAGUGAAUUGACGGUACCUGCAAGGGACGCACCGGCUAACUCCGUCCCAGCAGCCGCGGUAAUACGGAGGUGGCGAGCGUUAAUCGGAAUUACUGGGCGUAAAGCGCUCGUAGGCGGUAUGUCAAGUCAAGGGUGAAAUCCCCGCGCUCAACGUGGGAACUGCCUUUGAAACUGACAAACUGGAGUGUGUGAGAGGAUAGUGGAAUUCCAGGUGUAGGAGUGAAAUCCGUAGAUAUCUGGAGGAACAUCAGUGGCGAAGGCGACUAACUGGCACAUAACUGACGCUGAGGAGCGAAAGCGUGGGUAGCAAACAGGAUUAGAUACCCGUGUAGUC
rnacentral:rRNA from 1 species